CUCCCUUAGCUGAUCCCAUCCACAAUUUAUCUAAUAAAGGACGGUGGUGAUGUCCUACUGCCCAGCACCACAGGCUACAUCGAUGAUGAUGACUUACAUCGAUGUGAGGUCUGUGGGGAUGAGGAGCGGUCUGAAGCGGUUCCUGUUCCUCCUGCAAGACAGCCAGCCUUCACCUUUAUGACAAGACCAUCUACAUCCACCGGACAUGCUGGGCCCCCUACCCCACGUCCUGCCAAACUUUUCACCAGGAAUAUAUUACUUGGAAGGGUGGAAAGAGGCAGCCUGACGAUAGAUGGUGCCUCACUCAUUGUGGAGUUCAGCCUGGCUGAUGCCACAAUUCCAGCAAUGUCUGAAAAAGUGAGGAGGGAGCUGAGGAGCGAUAUGGAC